UACGAAGGGGGCUAGCGUUGCUCGGAAUCACUGGGCGUAAAGAGCGCGCAGGCGGUCGUUCAAGUCGCGUGUGAAAGCCCCCGGCUCAACUGGGGAGGGUCACGCGAUACUGAUCGACUCGAAGGCAGGAGAGGGAAGUGGAAUUCCCGGUGUAGUGGUGAAAUGCGUAGAUAUCGGGAGGAACACCAGUGGCGAAGGCGGUUGCCUGGAGCUUUGCUGACGCUGAGGCGCGAAAGCGUGGGGAGCGAUCCGG
rnacentral:rRNA from 1 species